rnacentral:rRNA from 1 species
GACGAACGCUGGCGGCGUGCCUAAUACAUGCAAGUAGAACGCUGAAGAGAGGAGCUUACUCUUCUUGGAUGAGUUGCGAACGGGUGAGUAGCGCGUAGGUAACCUGCCUUGUAGCGGGGGAUAACUAUUGGAAACGAUAGCUAAUACCGCAUAACAAUGGAUGACACAUGCCAUUUAUUUGAAAGGGGCAAUUGCUCCACUACAAGAUGGACCUGCGUUGUAUUAGCUAGUAGGUGAGGUAAUGGCUCACCUAGGCGACGAUACAUAGCCGACCUGAGAGGGUGAUCGGCCACACUGGGACUGAGACACGGCCCAGACUCCUACGGGAGGCAGCAGUAGGGAAUCUUCGGCAAUAGGGGCAACCCUGACCGAGCAACGCCGCGUGAGUGAAGAAGGUUUUCGGAUCGUAAAGCUCUGCUGUAAGUCAAGAACGGGUGUGAGAGUGGAAAGUUCACACUGUGACGGUAGCUUACCAGAAAGGGACGGCUAACUACGUG